rnacentral:rRNA from 1 species
CCUACGGGGGGCAGCAGUGGGGAAUAUUGGACAAUGGGCGCAAGCCUGAUCCAGCAAUGCCGCGUGAGUGAAGAAGGCCCUAGGGUUGUAAAACUCUUUCAAUAGUGAAGAUGAUGACGGUAACUAUAAAAGAAGCACCGGCUAACUUCGUGCCAGCAGCCGCGGUAAUACGAAGGGUGCUAGCGUUGUUCGGAAUUACUGGGCGUAAAGAGCAUGUAGGCGGAUUAAUUAGUCAGAGGUGAAAGCCCCGAGCUCAACUCGGGAACUGCCUUUGAUACUGUUAGUCUAGAGUUCGAGAGAGGUUAGUGGAAUUUCCAGUGUAGAGGUGAAAUUCGUAGAUAUUGGAAAGAACACCAGUGGCGAAGGCGGCUAACUGGCUCGAUACUGACGCUGAGAUGCGAAAGCGUGGGGAGCGAACAGGAUUAGAUACCCUAGUAGUC